AGGUUAACCGUAUAGGGGAGCCGUAGGGAAACCGAGUCUUAACUGGGCGAAUGAGUUGCAGGGUAUAGACCCGAAACCCGGUGAUCUAUCCAUGGGCAGGUUGAAGGUUGGGUAACACUAACUGGAGGACCGAACCGACUAAUGUUGAAAAAUUAGCGGAUGACUUGUGGAUGGGGGUGAAAGGCCAAUCAAACCGGGAGAUAGCUGGUUCUCCCCGAAAGCUAUUUAGGUAGCGCCUCGUGAAUUCAUCUUCGGGGGUAGAGCACUGUUUCGACUAGGGGGUCAUCCCGACUUACCAACUCGAUGCAAACUGCGAAUACCGAAGAAUGUUAUCACGGGAGACACACGGCGGGUGCUAACGUCCGUCGUGAAGAGGGAAACAACCCAGACCGCCAGCUAAGGUCCCAAAGUCAUGGUUAAGUGGGAAACGAAGUGGGAAGGCUCAGACAGCCAGGAUGUUGGCUUAGAAGCAGCCAUCAUUUAAAGAAAGCGUAAUAGCUCACUGGUCGAGUCGGCCCGCGCGGAAGAUGUAACGGGGCUAAACCAUGCACCGAAGCUGCGGCAGCGACACGUAGUGUUGUUGGGUAGGGGAGCGUUCUGUAAGCCUGCGAAGGUGUACUGUGAGGUAUGCUGGAGGUAUCAGAAGUGCGAAUGCUGACAUAAGUAACGAUAAUGCGGGUGAAAAACCCGCACGCCGGAAGACCAAGGGUUCCUGUCCAACGUUAAUCGGGGCAGGGUGAGUCGACCCCUAAGGCGAGGCUGAAAAGCGUAGUCGAUGGGAAACGGGUUAAUAUUCCCGUACUGGUGGUAACUGCGAUGGGGGAACGGAGAAGGCUAGGUUGUCCGGGCGACGGUCGUCCCGGUUCAAGCAGGUAGGCAGAGUGAUUAGGCAAAUCCGGUCACUUAAUGCUGAGAUGUGAUGACGAACCACUAAGGUGGUGAAGCAAUUGAUGCCCCGCUUCCAGGAAAAGCCUCUAAGCUUCAGGUUACCAACAAUCGUACCCCAAACCGACACAGGUGGUCAGGUAGAGAAUACUCAGGCGCUUGAGAGAACUCGGGUGAAGGAACUAGGCAAAAUGGUGCCGUAACUUCGGGAGAAGGCACGCUGGCGGUAGGUAAAGUCCCUUGCGGACGGCGCUGAAGCCAGUCGAAGAUACCAGCUGGCUGCAACUGUUUAUUAAAAACACAGCACUGUGCAAACACGAAAGUGGACGUAUACGGUGUGACGCCUGCCCGGUGCUGGAAGGUUAAUUGAUGGGGUCAGCCGUAAGGCGAAGCUCCUGAUCGAAGCCCCAGUAAACGGCGGCCGUAACUAUAACGGUCCUAAGGUAGCGAAAUUCCUUGUCGGGUAAGUUCCGACCUGCACGAAUGGCGUAAUGAUGGCCAGGCUGUCUCCACCCGAGACUCAGUGAAAUUGAACUCGCUGUGAAGAUGCAGUGUACCCGCGGCAAGACGGAAAGACCCCGUGAACCUUUACUAUAGCUUGACACUGAACAUUGAGCCUUGAUGUGUAGGAUAGGUGGGAGGCUUUGAAGUGUGGACGCCAGUCUGCAUGGAGCCAACCUUGAAAUACCACCCUUUAACGUUUGAUGUUCUAACCUAGGCCCAUAAACUGGGUCGGGGACCGUGUCUGGUGGGUAGUUUGACUGGGGCGGUCUCCUCCUAAAGAGUAACGGAGGAGCACGAAGGUUGGCUAAGCAUGGUCGGACAUCAUGCGGUUAGUGCAAAGGCAUAAGCCAGCUUGACUGCGAGAGUGACGGCUCGAGCAGGUACGAAAGUAGGUCUUAGUGAUCCGGUGGUUCUGAAUGGAAGGGCCAUCGCUCAACGGAUAAAAGGUACUCCGGGGAUAACAGGCUGAUACCGCCCAAGAGUUCAUAUCGACGGCGGUGUUUGGCACCUCGAUGUCGGCUCAUCACAUCCUGGGGCUGAAGUAGGUCCCAAGGGUAUGGCUGUUCGCCAUUUAAAGUGGUACGCGAGCUGGGUUUAGAACGUCGUGAGACAGUUCGGUCCCUAUCUGCCGUGGGCGUUGGAAGAUUGAGAGGGGUUGCUCCUAGUACGAGAGGACCGGAGUGAACGCACCACUGGUGUUCGGGUUGUCAUGCCAAUGGCAUUGCCCGGUAGCUAAGUGCGGAAGAGAUAACCGCUGAAAGCAUCUAAGCGGGAAACUUGCCUCGAGAUGAGUCUUCCCUGUCGCUUUAAGCGACCUAAAGGAACGUUUAAGACUAAGACGUUGAUAGGCUGGGUGUGUAAGCGUAGCGAUACGUUGAGCUAACCAGUACUAAUGAACCGUGAGGCUUAACCUG
rnacentral:rRNA from 1 species